GGACUACUGGGGUAUCUAAUCCUGUUUGCUCCCCACGCUUUCGUGCAUGAGCGUCAGUGACGUCCCAGGGGGCUGCCUUCGCCAUCGGUAUUCCUCCACAUCUCUACGCAUUUCACUGCUACACGUGGAAUUCUACCCCCCUCUGACAUACUCUAGCCUGACAGUCACAAGCGCCAUUCCCAAGUUAAGCUCGGGGAUUUCACGCCUGUCUUAUCAAACCGCCUGCGCACGCUUUACGCCCAGUAAUUCCGAUUAACGCUCGCACCCUACGUAUUACCGCGGCUGCUGGCAC
rnacentral:rRNA from 2 species